rnacentral:rRNA from 1 species
ACUCCUACGGGAGGCAGCAGUGGGGAAUAUUGCACAAUGGGCGCAAGCCUGAUGCAGCCAUGCCGCGUGUAUGAAGAAGGCCUUCGGGUUGUAAAGUACUUUCAGCAGUGAGGAAGGUGGAUGCGUUAAUAGCGUAUUCAUUUGACGUUAGCUGCAGAAGAAGCACCGGCUAACUCCGUGCCAGCAGCCGCGGUAAUACGGAGGGUGCGAGCGUUAAUCGGAAUUACUGGGCGUAAAGCGCAUGCAGGUGGUUUGUUAAGUCAGAUGUGAAAGCCCCGGGGCUCAACCUCGGAAUUGCAUUUGAAACUGGCAGACUAGAGUACUGUAGAGGGGGGUAGAAUUUCAGGUGUAGCGGUGAAAUGCGUAGAGAUCUGAAGGAAUACCGGUGGCGAAGGCGGCCCCCUGGACAGAUACUGACACUCAGAUGCGGAAAGCGGUGGGGAGCAAACAGGAUUAGAUACCCUGGUAGGAUAGCG